rnacentral:lncRNA from 1 species
AUUUCUUGGGAUGAGUGAUUUGGUAUUUGAAUGUGAGGAGGAGAUGAGAAGAUUGAAGUCACGAUCGAUCUACAACUUGUUGAGUGGAAACACUUAUAUAUUUUCAAAUAUUGAUAAAGUACUUACACUAUUAUAUUACAUGCGAUUAUGUGAAUUAUUUGUUUAGUUACAUUAUUAAUAUGGAAAUGUUCUUUUACUGUGAUAUAUAUGUAAAUCAAAGAUUGUAUACGGAUUAAUUGUGAGUUUGAAUGUGAUAGAUGUGAUAUUGGGAUCGACUAGAUGAGUAUCCGUGAUUAUAUACUUCUUCUAGUUCACAGAGGGGCCUUAGCCAUGUUCUAUCCUACACAGAGUGUCUUGAUUGGACAUUGGCCUUGACUGUGUACAUAUAGUUUACAAAGGGGCAUUAGUCAUGUUCUAGAAUUGAUCUUUGAGAUUCGCUUUCGUUCAGGGAGGAGGUUAAAAGACCCAUGGCAAAAGUGCUUAUCCCGAGGGACAGAUUACAAAUUUCAGCCAGAUGGUACAUUUUUUGUGGAUCACAUGUGAUGGGAUGAGAUGAGAUGAUAUUUUACAAAAUUACAAGAAUGUCUCAUUUUUUGGCUAUAACUAUAUGAAGUUAUCCUGUGAAUUAUUAAAUGACAUGAAUUCGAUUUUCAAUAAAUAUGUAUAAAUGAG